CCUACGGGAGGCUGCAGUGAGGAAUAUUGCACAAUGGGCGGAACCCUGAUGCAGCGACGCCGCGUGGGUGAGGAAGUACUUCGGGAUUGAAAGCCCUAUCAGCAGGGAAGAAAAUGACGGUACCUGACUAAGAAGCCCCGGCUAACUACGUGCCAGCAGCCGCGGUAAUACGUAGGGUGCAAGCGUUAUCCGGAUUUACUGGGGGUAAAGGGAGCGUAGACGGCGUGGAAAGUCUGGUGUGAAAGGCCGGGGCUCAACCCCGGGACUGCAUUGGAAACUGGCGUGCUGGAGUGCGGGAGGGGCAAGCGGAAUUCCUAGUGUAGCGGUGAAAUGCGUAGAUAUUAGGAGGAACACCGGUGGCGAAGGCGGCUUGCUGGACGGUAACUGACGUUGAGGCUCGAAAGCGUGGGGAGCAAACAGGAUUAGAUACCCGUGUAGUC
rnacentral:rRNA from 1 species